UUGUGUGCAGCGUAAUAAUUCUCUCUUCUCUCCUCUCUAGGGUGAAUUUAAAUCAUUUCUUUCCACAAGACUUUUUAAAUUUUAUUGUUGCUUCUAUCACUAGAGUAACGAAUUUUUUGAAACAUGCAAGAUAUCCGUUUCAACAAACUGUACAUUUUACCUCUGCUCAUUACGUUUUUAUUAACAUUUAUCUCAAUGACGAUUACUGAAGCAACUCUCAUUCAACCAAAGUGUCCCAUAGAGUCAAAAUGGGAUUCGAUUGCUAAUCGCUGCCGAUUGUUAAUCUAAAAUUAAACAGUUACAUGGAUAUCUGAAAAUGCGGUUGCACUUCAUACGUUCGUCUAAACAACAAUUAUAAGUAAAUUGUAAAGAAAUAAUGAAAAAUAAACUAUUGUAAAUUAUGUGUGUGUA